rnacentral:rRNA from 1 species
UGGGGAAUAUUGGACAAUGGGGGCAACCCUGAUCCAGCCAUGCCGCGUGAGUGAUGAAGGCCUUCGGGUUGUAAAGCUCUUUAGCCAGGGAAGAUAAUGACGGUACCUGGAAAAUAAGCACCGGCUAACUUCGUGCCAGCAGCCGCGGUAAUACGAAGGGUGCUAGCGUUGUUCGGAAUCACUGGGCGUAAAGCGUGCGUAGGCGGCCAAGUAAGUCUGACGUGAAAGCCCGGGGCUCAACCCCGGAUGUGCGUUGGAAACUGCUUGGCUGGAAUUCGAAAGAGGAAAGCGGAAUUCCUAGUGUAGAGGUGAAAUUCGUAGAUAUUAGGAGGAACACCAGUGGCGAAGGCGGCUUUCUGGUUCGUAAUUGACGCUGAGGCACGAAAGCGUGGGGAUCAAA